rnacentral:rRNA from 1 species
CCUACGGGCGGCAGCAGUGGGGAAUAUUGGGCAAUGGGCGCAAGCCUGACCCAGCAACGCCGCGUGAAGGAAGAAGGCUUUCGGGUUGUAAACUUCUUUUAUCAGGGACGAAGCGAGUGACGGUACCUCCUGAAUAAGCCACGGCUAACUACGUGCCAUCAGCCGCGGUAAUACGGAGGUGGCAAGCGUUAUCCGGAUUUACUGGGUGUAAAGGGUGUGUAGGCGGGAGUGCAAGUCAGAUGUGAAAACUAUUGGCUCAACCCAUAGCCUGCAUUUGAAACUGUACGUCUUGAGUGCUGGAGAGGCAAUCGGAAUUCGGGGUGUAGCGGUGAAAUGCGUAGAUAUAACGAGGAACACCAGUGGCGAAGGCGGAUUGCUGGACAGUAACUGACGUUGAGGCGCGAAAGCGUGGGGAGCAAACAGGAUUAGAUACCCGAGUAGUC